AGGCGGGGGAGGAGGGCAGCCCUCGGGAGAAGCAAGCCCCACACAGCAGCACCGCAGCCCAGGCGAGAGGCGCGAAAAAGCCGGCGGCGCUACAGAGGGAGGAGGGAGCCGUUGCCCCGGGAGCGGGACGGGGAGGGGCCAGCACCUGCUCCCCGCUGCCACGCCCCGCGCCGCGCGGCAGUUGGCGGGCGCGCGGGCACCCCCUGCCCCAGCUCCCUAGAGCCUAUCACAGGAACAAGAAUUUCAUCCACAGUUGCUGAAUUUUUCAAAGCAAAGGAAAAAGGACAUUACAUAGUGCAUGUGUUUUAUUAUGGAAGAAGGUAAUGCAGCCAUCCACUUUACUUCAUUGCACCAUGCUGUAAGACAGAAUCAAAAACUGUAACAAGCAGAAUGGCUAUGCGGAUACCUGAUGGAUCUGUUGGUUGUCAUGACACUCUGCAUAAAGGAAUUGAACUAUUCCAACCCCAUGCUGGGGGAAUUAAAAAUGAAAAUGAGAAAGAUUAGCUCACAUAAUGUUGAUUUUUCUUUCAACUUCUGCUUCCUCUGAGCAAAGUGCAUUUAUAAAUGUGUAUUUACAUUUACUGGAUAUAAGUCAGUGACAAGAAUGAUCCUGAAAUGAAAUUAUGAAAUGCACUGCUUGGAACAGUCAAUUGCAGAAGGGAAACAGAUUAAGCAGAGAACAAUCUAUCCAGGAUGCUGUCAGGCCAUGUUACAGAAAAAUGACAGUCUGUAUUCAUUAAAGAUAUUUAAUAAUUUUCUCAAAAAAUAAAUGUGUAAAAUAUUUCAAGUCAGGAAAUAUGAACUUUAUUAUUGAUUAAACAUUUGAAAAGGGAUUUUUCUCAAUAAA